AGAGAAGGCAGUGAAGAUCUUCCCUCGUCCCGCCUCUGGAUCUCUCCGACCUGUUGUUCAUGGACAGACUAUUAAGUACAAUAUGAAAGUCAGAGCCGGGAAAGGAUUCACUCUCGAAGAGCUUAAGGUCUCUGUUUUUUUUUUGUUAAGUUUCACUUUCUUUGAAAGAUGUAAUGAUGAAAACUAAUAAUGUUUGGGUUUAAAUCAGGCUGCUGGUAUUGCUAAGAAGUUGGCUUCGACGAUCGGUAUCUCAGUUGAUCACCGUCGUAAGAACCAUUCCUUGGAGGGUCUUCAAUCCAAUGUACAAAGGUUGAAGACUUACAAGGCCAAGUUGGUUGUCUUCCCUCGCAGAUCACGUGUUGUCAAGGUACUAUACAUUCUACACUAGAUGUCUUUGAGUUUUUGUUAUGUUAUGACAAUCUCUUGUUGUUUUGCAGGCUGGUGAUUCUACUCCAGAGGAGCUUGCUAAUGCAACUCAAGUCCAAGGAGAUUACAUGCCUAUUGCUGGAGAGAAGGUUGCAAUGGAGCUUGUGAAGGUGACUUCUGACAUGAAGGCAUUCAAGGCUUAUGACAAGAUCCGUCUAGAGCGCACUAACAAACGCCAUGCUGGUGCCAGAGCCAAGAGAGCCGCCGAUGCUGAGAAAGAAGAGAAGAAAUAAGAUUCUCUCCAUACUUACUUUUAAUACAUUCUUGAAUUCUUCCUUUUCCGUGAUCUUUAUUUUUUGCAAGACUUUUUUUAAGGGAUUCAUCGAUCCUACUUUUUUCUGGUUUUAUGGAAACAGAUUAUAAUAGUCUAACCAUCUCAUAAUGUCCAAAAGAUUAUUUAUCAAUGGUGCUUAUAAACAUGGUGGUAUUAUUUGCCAUGAAUACUUAGCUAUCAUGGAGUGUUUAUUUGCCAAUGAAUGUACCAUGCCGAGGCAGCUGUAACAUGUCAACUAGAGUGUUUGUAAGCACAUCACAAAGAUGUCAAAAUGUUGCAAUUUUGAAUUCUGAUAUACAGUAUUGGCCAUCGCAUCACAUUAUUCUCUUUUAUUUUAAUUUUUUUUAAAAGCAAAACUACAAACAAAACAAAGUUUAAGAACUUAUCUCAGGUCUUGAACCUCUGAGAGAUCUUGCCAACUCCAUCUCUACACUCCUCAGCCAUUCUCUUCACCUUAUCACCUACCUGAGCUGUUCCUUUCUCAACCUCCUUCACUGCUCCUUUUGCACUAACAAUGGCUGCCUCUCUCAUCUCUCCCACUCGUUUCCCUAAACUCUCUACGUAUUCCUUCAAAACCAUAAUCCAUAAACGUAUUUUCUCCAUCACAAUGAAGAUCACUUCCCGGGAUUUUCCUCCCACAGUGUAUGCCAUCUCCUUCAGCUUACCGAUAAGUGUUUGGGGCCUCUCCUCGGUUGAAUAAACCGAGGAUGGCUCUACCGUGUUAAGCAAUACGCUUUGUUCUACAUCCUCUUGAAGAUCUUUGUCAACAAUAACUCUUAGUCCAUUCGUUUCCCAUCGCUUUCUAGCCUCUUCUAACGCCCUGGCUUGUUCUCUAGCUCUCUUUCCUUCCUCCUCGGCCCAUGAUCUGAACAAAUAACACAUGAAGAUUCAGACACUAGCAGAUAGAUUCUUUGACAUUGUAAAAAAAGCCGUAGAUCCAAUGAUUUAUAAGUAGAGAGAAACAAACUUACUUGUCUGCUGUGUUUAAAAACUUAAGAUACUCUCCAACAGCAGAAUUCUGCAACAUUCCAAAUAUUUUUAUAAAAAAUUGUCUAUUAGGCAGCUAUCAGAUAUAUAGAGAUAUUACAUAAUCACAUUAAUAUUUGAUAUAAAAAGAACAAUUUAAACUAUGCUUGUUAGCUCUUCAUACCUUCAGUUUAGAGCUGUGUGCACUGAAUGUCUUCCAAGGAGUACAGGCAAUCUUUGAAGGCAUACUUCUCUCAGGUGUUUUUAGCUCAGCUUCAGCGGUAAUCUCGCUAUGUUGUGGUAGCUCUUCAACAUAAGAUUUAGUUAGGGCAGUUUGAUACUUCUCAGGCGGGGAUGGAUGGUUUGAGGUAUUGCAUAGCGACUUUAAAGUCAUGGAAAGUUCUCGAAGCUGCAUGCUGAGCGGAGGUGAUGCAGUUUCAUUGGCUAGAAAAUAGUUGUUCUCUUUCUCCAAGCUUUCUCCUACAAUCAAGAGAGGUGCCAGAAAUUAAAAUAAGUUUUAUGUAUAUUAUAGCUUCUUACAUUAAUUAUCAUUAAACUCACAAUCUACCUGCAUUAACUAGAGUCGGAUUUUCUUCAAUGACUGAACGGUAUUCACCUCUCUCUACUAUUUUGGCUGCAAUAGAAAGAACAAAUAUAAUAAGAGCUAAAUUCCCAGAAAAUCAAACUUGUAUAUCAACUUUCAAGUUUUACCUUUGCAUGCAAUAGCAUCAUCACAAUAAAUGUCUUCUAAAACCUCUUCCUCAUGUUUCAGGGGUGUCUCCUGAAGGUUAAUGAAAGAGAUGUCAGUACUAUAUGGAUAUUUAGAUGUUGAAAUAAAACAUAAACCUAUAAAAACUACCUUGUGUGUAGGGUCAGAAACUUUUGAGACGAAAGAAGCAGUGGUUGCAUAGCUCUAGAUAUGAAAGAAGAAAUAUUAGAGAUUUUGUUCAAGCAGAAACUAAACAAAGGAAACAAUUGUUUGAGAUGCAGAGAAAUUGUAGAUGUACCAGUUCCAUGGCUAUUUCUGAACUUGAUAAAGCUGGGACAGAGUGAUCCUGCUAGAGAAUCACUGUUAGCAUUGAACCACUGAAUGUAAAUAUGUUUUGAUGAUGUUCAUCUAGGUCAUACGUUAUUAUGAAAUAUUACCUCUUCUACCGUUGAAGAUUGAGAAUCUGUAACCAUUACUGAAGAACAGACUUCCUACAUUAAAUAAUAAAAUAGUUGGUAAGUAAUGCCUUUGUAAUAAAUAUCCUCCACACAGCUCCAUAUAGUUAAAGGUAGAAAGAAUUUACUUCUUCAGAUGAGGAGGCCUGAACUUUCAAGACAACUUUUGGAGUGGAGAUUUCCUGCAUUAAAAAUAAACACAAGUGUUAUUCGCAGUGAGAAAGGAAUCUGAAGAGAAUUAUUCUAACCAUUCAGAAUAAGGAGCUCUACCUUUUUCACUGCCACUCUUGAUUUGCCUUCCAUCUACAACAUCCAAAACAGUAUAACUAAACUAUUUCUGAACAUUUAUUAGAAUAAGAACACGUGAUAAAUUACCUUCUUGGAGCUAUUUUUACAUUUCAACGAAUCAUUUGCUUCACCAAACAGUUUCCUUCAAUCAUAUGAGAAAAAAAUAAAUAUUAUUGUUAUGUGAUGUUCUGAAACUGAUAACAUAGUGAUUCUGAGGCUUAGAGAUGAUACUAAGUUCGUUAUGAAAGUAUAGAACUUUACCUUCCUUUAAUUGCAGAAGCUGGAGUAUUGAGCUUAGACUUUCUCUCUGUCACACUUUUUCUUAUCCCUGUCUGUUGCCUAGAAGUAGCAGACACAGCCAAAGGUGUGUUUUUCUUUUGAGCGGCAGAUGAUGAUGAAAGAGAUCCAGCAGGACAUUUGCUCUUCUUAGUAGCAUUAGUCAUGGAUUGUUUACUGCCUAGACAGAUCCGUGAUGCUAAGUUUAGCAUGUAAAAUGAGUCUUGGCUAAAUUCUCGCGGCUUAAACAAGAAACUAAAUGGUUAGCAAUUACAACUUUAACAGUCAUUAAAGCAUCAAUCAACUCAACAGCCAGUAAAGUAUAUACCAGACAAGUGAUCAGCAACGUUCUGUUGCAUCCUUGUAAACAAUCUUUCAGCAUGUGAGUGAGUUUGCUCUCCCUGUAUGGCACAUGAGAUUCAUUUGCAUUGAUAGCAUACAUGACGUUCUGUAAAGCAUAUAUCGAUUUAUUUAUCCUGGUAAUCUCUGGAGGAGCUAGAUCACUGCAUUGUUUUCUAGAGUCCUCAUAUCCUGCCAGAGGAAGACAAGAAAACACCCAUCAGAUGCUAACAGAAGAUUACCACACAGAAAAUAUAACUAACAAAGUGAUAUAAAAAACAAUCAACCUGCCAUAUCAAGAAAAUUCAUCCUCCCAAAGGAUCCCGAAUUAGCUUCCCCCUUGGUAACAUGUAUCAUCACACCUCUAUGGCUCCUAAGAGGAGGGUCGUUGACCAGCUUCUGGAUUUUGUUGAGCCCGAAAUACACCUCUUGAAAUCCCGAGAGUGACUUCACAGGUACCUGAAAGCAGAAACUUUGAUUCAUCAAUGAUGUUAUACCAAGACUUAAUGCUCCAUAACACUAAAUGACUUGCCUUCGAAAGUCCUUUUAGCUGAAUCUUCCCUGGUGGACCUUCCAAUACAGAAACCACUCGCUUCUCUUUGUCUAAGACGUCAUAAACAGUUUCUUGAGAGACUUCGUAAAACGAAACCGAAACUGAGUCUCCUCUUUCCUCAGCCAUGGAUAGCAUCUCAGCCAUUGAAAGGAUGACCAAACCAGGUUCCCACUCAGAUCCCUACAAACCAAAUCACACGAUAACUCCAUUAGCAUUUUUCAUCUACCGUGACUGAUGAUUAGUUCAUUUCAAUACCUGAAUAAGAAGCGUUUUCCCGCUACAUCUUGCUCCAUGAGCAAUCACAUUAGCAUCUUUACCCUCAAAGACACUAGAGAUGAGAGGUUUAAUCUCCUUGGCGAGAAUCGAACUCGCGGAUUCGUUUUCUUCGUAGAAAUAAUCCAAUUCACAUGAGUCUUUCGAACUGCAACAACAUAUACACAAAUAGAGAGAACGAGAAAUCAAAAUACGUAUGUAUGAGAAUCGGAAUCUCCAGAUGUAACUCCUUUCAAAAUCAGCGAGGUAAGAUAGAGAAUUACCCAGCGAAUUGAGCUCCGAAGGAAAUCGAAACCGUCUCCGAUUGAUCUCUCUUGUGAACAGAUACAGAUGACGCUGACGAAGCUUCUACAGCCGGAUCCGACGACGACGGCUUCACCCUAGCUACCACGCGUACAGCCUUGCUCAUCGAUUUCGUCUCCAUCAAUCGGAUUUGUGAGAGAGAGAGAGAGCCGUUACGGAAAAUUUUCAAAUUCGCUGACGCUCCUUCGAUAGAUGUCUGUUCACUUCACUGUUAUUAUCUGGUGUAUAUAGGAAGCUUACCACUUGUUUGGAUUCCAAAACGUCACCGUUUUAAAUAGUUUGUCGGGUCUAAUUCGCGGAGAAAUAAACAUGAAAAGGAGAUCGGCCCAUAUAAAGCCCAAUAGUAAUAUCAGGGCUUUUUAAUGAGUGACAUCUAAAAUCCGAGAAGAAGAAGCCCUAGACAUUUCUGUCCAGCCGCUGGAGGAGGAAGAAGAAGAAGCUGUGAGUGACCCUAUCUCUCUCUCUAUCUAUCAUCGUCAUUGUAUGAACUCUGAUUUGUUCUUACAUUUAUAUGAUCUCAUAUUGAAUUUUGUUCUUUUAUUAUUUCAGCUAAGGUGAGAAGAUGAAGCAUAAUAAUGAGAUCCCUGGAUCACACUUCAGGAAGCACUGGCAGAACUCUGUUAAGACAUGGUUUAACCAACCCGCCAGGAAAACCAGGAGAAGAGUUGGUUAGUUACAUCAGUUUUAGGUUUAGUUAUGUAAUGUUUGUCUCUUGAUAAGACUCUUAUGUGUGAUGAACUGAUGAUGGUUUGUCUUUCUUUUUAUUCAGCGAGACAAGAGAAGGCAGUGAAGAUCUUCCCUCGUCCCGCCUCUGGAUCUCUCCGACCUGUUGUUCAUGGACAGACUAUUAAGUACAAUAUGAAAGUCAGAGCCGGGAAAGGAUUCACUCUCGAAGAGCUUAAGGUCUCUGUUUUUUUUUUGUUAAGUUUCACUUUCUUUGAAAGAUGUAAUGAUGAAAACUAAUAAUGUUUGGGUUUAAAU
rnacentral:lncRNA from 1 species